rnacentral:misc_RNA from 1 species
GCAAACUUGGUCAUUUAGAGGAAGUAAAAGUCGUAACAAGGUAUCCGUAGGUGAACCUGCGGAUGGAUCAUUACCAAUUUUUAUUAUUAGUUUGUGCGCUUAUGCUUCGGUGUAUGCCACACAACUAUAAUGUAAACGUUGAACUUAGAUCAUUGGUUGUGGAUUGCUUGGGAAUGGACGAAGCGACAAGCCUCUUCCGGACAGGCAAACCCCACACCGAUAACCUUUUCAUACAAUUUACCAAUAUAUACUACAAACAAACAAAAGCUAUAAUAGGAUUUAUAUACGAGUUGAGUGGGUAAAAGCCUCGACUCUCAAAAAAAUAACUAUUACAACUUUCAGCAAUGGAUCUCUAGGCUCUCGCAUCGAUGAAGAACGCAGC